rnacentral:lncRNA from 1 species
UUAAAGUUGUCUAAUGCAGUUGAAUUGUGUGUGUUUGUUCUUUCAAUUUUUUUAGAGGUGGCAGGCAAGCUCUUUGGUUUUCCCGAACGCCACCCAGCUAUGCCACCCCCUCGUAUUUCUUUUCUGUCCGCAAACCCCUAAGGUGGGAAUGCGCUGGCUUUGUUUUGUUUGUUUAUCUAUUUAUUUAUUUUGAGACAGGGUCUCACUGAGUCGCUGAGGGCCCCAUAAGUUGCUGAGGCUGGCUUUGAACUUGCGAUCCUCCUGCCUCAGCCUCCCGAGUCUCUGGGAUGACAGGCGUGCACCACCGCACCCAGCUUGGGACUGGCUUUGUGACACAAUGAUUCUACCUGUUGGAACACGCUAACGGUGUCUUGCAGAGAGAAGGCGUGUACCACGGGUGGCGCCCAGGCUGGUUUCCAAGCAGUUGAUAGACAUACUGUUAAGUAAUAUUGCAUCACAGAGAAUGUUUCCCCUUUUCUCUUCUUUCUCAAUCUGAUACAGCCGGGAGCAAGUCUCAAUUUUGUGCCAGUGGGUCCUUGACACCUUCCUGACCCUAUGGUUCUUUGUGCUUUUUAACAAAGAAGGAGCUGCCCUUGGGGUUCGGUCUGCUAUCUAGAUGGAACUCAAUGGUAUUGUUUUAUUUUCAUGUUAUAUAUUUUAUUUACUACCUUCCAUUUGUGGCUCUGCAGAGAUGGAUGUGUUAUGUCAUUUCUGUUCAAAUAAAUUCAUAUUUAUAGAUAUGUAGCAAAUUUCAAAAACGAACAUUAGAAACACAGUGAUAAUGAGUUUUCCAGUGCAGAAGAAAAAGCAGUGAAUUUUCAUGGAAAGAAUAAGAAACUAAAAGUCAAACUAUAUCUGUUCCAGUGCCUUUUUUUUUUCUUCUUGCCACUAACUAGCUAUGCAAGCUGAUGUCAGGCAAGUUUCUGGGGGUUCUCUCUGCCUCCAGUUUCUUCCUCUGGAAAAUGCAGAUAAGAACACCUGCCUACUUACCUCACCGUGUUAUGAAAAUUAAUUGUCACAAUAGGUGUGUUCCCCGGGGGAGGAAUGCUAAGUGUCUUACCAAUACGAGUCAUGAUUCUUAGAGACUGUGAAUCUCAGGCAUUGGUUAAAAUACUGAGCCCUGGCAAAAAUAAAUAAAUAAAAGUGAAUGGACACCCAUUUCUACCCGUCAUCCCACCCACAUGCUCAUUAUGAGCCAGCUCGGGUCCCCGGAGGACGCUGCAUCAGGGACACGGGUUCUCGGCACACAGGGACGCACCAUUCCAGGAGAUCGGAUCCUCAUUUCUGUUUGUAAUAUCUGGUUGUUUGUUUGUAUGUGUUCGGGUCCCUGGUCUUUUCCUCAAAUUCAAUGAAAAGUGUUGCUGAGAGGCAGAAUAAAA